rnacentral:tRNA from 5 species
GGAGAGAUGUCCGAGCGGUCGAAGGAGGCGGUCUUGAAAACCGUUGAGGCGCGAGUCUCCGGGGGUUCGAAUCCCUCUCUCUCCGCUA